rnacentral:rRNA from 1 species
ACAUGCAGUCGAGCGGACAGAAGGGAGCUUGCUCCCGGAUGUUAGCGGCGGACGGGUGAGUAACACGUGGGUAACCUGCCUGUAAGACUGGGAUAACUCCGGGAAACCGGAGCUAAUACCGGAUAGUUCCUUGAACCGCAUGGUUCAAGGAUGAAAGACGGUUUCGGCUGUCACUUACAGAUGGACCCGCGGCGCAUUAGCUAGUUGGUGGGGUAAUGGCUCACCAAGGCGACGAUGCGUAGCCGACCUGAGAGGGUGAUCGGCCACACUGGGACUGAGACACGGCCCAGACUCCUACGGGAGGCAGCAGUAGGGAAUCUUCCGCAAUGGACGAAAGUCUGACGGAGCAACGCCGCGUGAGUGAUGAAGGUUUUCGGAUCGUAAAGCUCUGUUGUUAGGGAAGAACAAGUGCGAGAGUAACUGCUCGCACCUUGACGGUACCUAACCAGAAAGCCACGGCUAACUACGUGCCAGCAGCCGCGGUAAUACGUAGGUGGCAAGCGUUGUCCGGAAUUAUUGGGCGUAAAGGGCUCGCAGGCGGUUUCUUAAGUCUGAUGUGAAAGCCCCCGGCUCAACCGGGGAGGGUCAUUGGAAACUGGGAAACUUGAGUGCAGAAGAGGAGAGUGGAAUUCCACGUGUAGCGGUGAAAUGCGUAGAGAUGUGGAGGAACACCAGUGGCGAAGGCGACUCUCUGGUCUGUAACUGACGCUGAGGAGCGAAAGCGUGGGGAGCGAACAGGAUUAGAUACCCUGGUAGUCCACGCCGUAAACGAUGAGUGCUAAGUGUUAGGGGGUUUCCGCCCCUUAGUGCUGCAGCUAACGC